AACGAACGCUGGCGGCAGGCCUAACACAUGCAAGUCGAACGGUAACGCGGGGCAACCUGGCGACGAGUGGCGAACGGGUGAGUAAUAUAUCGGAACGUGCCCAGUAGUGGGGGAUAGCCCGGCGAAAGCCGGAUUAAUACCGCAUACGACCUACGGGUGAAAGCGGGGGAUCGCAAGACCUCGCGCUAUUGGAGCGGCCGAUAUCAGAUUAGGUAGUUGGUGGGGUAAAGGCCUACCAAGCCUGCGAUCUGUAGCUGGUCUGAGAGGACGACCAGCCACAAUGGGACCGAGACACGGCGCAGACUCCUACGGGUGGCAGCAGUGGGGAAUGUUGGACAAUGGGCGUAAGCCUGAUCCAGCCAUGCCGCGUGCGGGAAGAAGGCCUUCGGGUUGUAAACCGCUUUUGUCAGGGAAGAAACGCUCUGGGCUAAUACCCCGGGGUAAUGACGGUACCUGAAGAAUAAGCACCGGCUAACUACGUGCCAGCCGCCGCAGUAA
rnacentral:rRNA from 1 species